GACGAACGCUGGCGGCGUGCUUAACACAUGCAAGUCGAACGGGAAGGCCUGCUUUCCCUUGUGGAUUGCGGGUACUCGAGUGGCGAACGGGUGAGUAACACGUGAGUGAUCUGCCCCCAACUUGGGUAUAAGCCUGGGAAACUGGGUCUAAUUCCCGAUAGGACUGCAGGGUGGUGCCUGUGGUGGAAAACGAUUUUCUAGUGGUUGGGGAUGAGCUCGCGGCCUAUCAGCUUGUUGGUGGGGUAAUGGCCUACCAAGGCGGCGACGGGUAGCCGGCCUGAGAUGGUGGACGGCCACAUUGGGACUGAGAUACGGCCCAGACUCAUACGGGAGGCAGCAGUGGGGAAUAUUGCACAAUGGGCGGAAGCCUGAUGCAGCGACGCCGCGUGGGGGAUGACGGCCUUCGGGUUGUAAACUCCUUUCGACCGCGAGGAAGCCACCUGGUUGGAAGGGUGGUGACGGUAGUGGUAGAAGAAGCACCGGCUAACUACGUG
rnacentral:rRNA from 1 species